ensembl:misc_RNA Metazoa_SRP Metazoan signal recognition particle RNA
GCCAGGCAUGGUGGCGGGUGCCUGUAAUCCCAGCUACUCGGGAGGCAGAAGUAGGAGAAUCACUUGAACCUGGGAGGCAGAGGUUGCAGUGAGCUGAGAUCGCACCACUGCACUCCCGCCUAGGUGACAAAGUGAGACUCUGUCUCAA